GAUGAAGAACGCAGCGAAAUGCGAUAACUAAUGUGAAUUGCAGAAUUCCGUGAAUCAUCGAGUCUUUGAACGCACAUUGCGCCCCCUGGUAUUCCGGGGGGCAUGCCUGUCCGAGCGUCAUUGCUGCCCAUCAAGCACGGCUUGUGUGUUGGGUCCUCGUCCCCCCCGGGGGACGUGCCCGAAAGGCAGCGGCGGCACCGCGUCCGGUCCUCGAGCGUAUGGGGCUUUGUCACCCGCUCUGCAGGCCCGGCCGGCGCUGGCCGACGCGAAAGCAACCAUUUUUUCUCCAAGUUGACCUCGGAUCAGGUAGGGAUACCCGCUGAACUUAAGCAUAUCAAUAAGCGGAGGA
rnacentral:misc_RNA from 1 species